GAUUUUCGUGUUAAACAACAUUAUAUUUCCUGGAGAAUCAAAUCGGUUCCGGACAGUUGUGAAACUUCCCUUGUAAGUAUAUAAACAAAUCAUAUUA